UAGAGGGCAGGUCUUUCUAAUGCACAUGCCCAAGUGAGAAAUGGAUUGCCUGGCAAAGGAGUGAGCUCUGUGACUUGUCACAGUGAGCUCUUUGUAUUCAAGCAAAGGCUGGAUUUGUGGAUGGUUUCAAAAGAUCAUCCCUGCCAGCCCAGAAAGCACCGUCAUUAUGACACCUUCUGAGCCAGCCUGGUCCCAGUAAGCAGAGAAGAGAGUGGGAUGCAUGGGGUCGCCUGGCUCCUGGGACCUCUGAACAUUGUCUUAAGGGAUUAAGACAAAUUAUAAAUAAGGAUCAAAAGAGGGUGUCAAUGUGAUGGGUUAGGGGCCCUAAGACUCUUACAGAAAACAAUGAAAAAGGAUGGUAAUUAUACAAAAAACAUUUGUGAAUGCAUCUAUUAGCUGGCAGGAAAGUGAGAGAUACUCAGCCCCAGAACCUCCAGAGAGGCAAGUGGGGCACUGAUGCCAACUUUCACUUUGAGGGUUUUUGUCAACAUAGGAGUAUCAGUUUUUGUAGUCUUAAAAAAUUGAGAGGAGAAAGACAACCCCUUGGGCGCAUCAGGUGGGGAAUCAUAGGAGACCGCUCCUCAUGAAUUUAGGAGUCCAAAGGAUUAAAUCCUUAGUAAAGGAUGAACUGAAAAUAUCCCCUACCCUACUCAGAGGGCAGAAAUAAAACUUUUCUGUCUCCACGCUUUGAUUCUCACCCAGAAUGGCCCUCCCAUGCACCUGCAUUCCCAAGCCACACUCCCUAAGUGCUUUCCCCAAACCUUGAGUCAUUUAUAAGCUUGAAAGUGGUCCUACACACCUCACACACCCUGCCAUCACAUACCCGGCACCUUACAGAAGUAAGCACAUCCUUUCUGAAAGAAUCCACUUUUUCUCAGAAUUCCAAGGGUUUCUACAAGGAAAAUGAAUAAUUUGGAGUGUUAAAAGAAAAUUAUCAAAUAUAAAAGGACACAAUGCAUCAUUCGUGAGAGCCAGAAAAAAAUCAACUUAGGGUUGAUAAAAAAAAAAAAUCAGGUAUUGGUUUUAUCACACGCAGACUAUAAAAUAAGCAUGCUUAAUCUGUUAGGAGAAAUGAAAAAGAAGAUUAAAACGAGUAAAGAUCUAGAACAUAAAGACAUAAUCAAAUGGCACUCCUAUAACUGAAAAAUAGAAUUAAAAUUAAAUACUUAAUGAAUAGGUUGAAGAGCAGAUUAAACCCAGCUCAGGGGAGAACUAGUGAAUGAAAGAGAGAGCCGAACAAGUUAUAAAAAAUGCAGCCCACAAAGAUCAGAAAGCAUGAAAGAGACUUAAGAGAACAUGGAGAACAGAGUGAGAAGCUCUCACAUAUAUCUCAUCAGAGGUCCUGGAGAACAGUAAAGAGAAUGGAGAAAAGGCAGUAUUCAAAGAGAUAAUGACUGAGAACUUCUCAGAAUGAUAAGACAAAAAUCCGUGUAUUUAAGAAGCUCAACAAACUCAAGUAGCUUAACAUUUAAAAUACACAGUACACACAUCAUAAUACAAUUUCAAAGACCAGAUGCAAAGGGAUAAUUUAACAGGGGCUGGAAAGACAAGACAAAUUACCUUCAAAAAAAGUGAGAUCAAGCCCUGCGUCGGGCUCUGCACUGACACUGUGGAGACUACUUGGGAUUCUCUCUGUUCUUGUCCCACACUCUCAGUCUCCCUCUCAAAAUAUUUUUUUAAAUAGCAAUUUGCUUGAUAGCUGACUUGUCAUCAGCAAAAACAAAGUUCAGAAGUCAGUGGGAUAAUACCUGAGAAUAUGCUAAGUAACACACUCUUCAACAGGUGAAAUAACAUUUUCAUAUUUAAAAAAGCAGUGUUUUCCACCACCAAACCCCCAUUAAAUGGAAUUCUGAAGAAUGAACUCCAGGCAGAAAGAAAUUGAUACCAGAUAGAGAUGCGUGAAGAAAGGAACAAUAAAGUGGCACAUACGUUUAUGGCCAUAUAUCACUUUAUCGUAUGAUAUUCUAAUUUAUCACAUGUCCCUACCUUGGCCCUUCAGUUAUGGGCUGAAUGUUUGUGUCUCCUCAAAAUUCCUAUGUUGAAGCCCUACUACUUAUCGUGGCCAUAUUUGGAAAUGGGGCCUCUAAGAAUCACCUGCACAAAGAAGAGGUCAUAUGAGCACACAGCAAGAUGGCAGCCAUCGGGCAGGGGACAGGAUUCUUGGGCAAAGGUCUUCAUUGGGCAUGAGGUUGGCCUGACCGCCCCUGCCCCCCGCCCCAGGCUUGGCCAUGUGGCACGCUUCAGUCAACAAAACACACUCCGAAGUGAUGAAGGACAUUUCUGAGCAGAAGCUUUCAGGACCACGGCCAGAUCUGUCAGAUUCCCUUCCCCAUCAGGGACCACGGAAGCCCCUGGGAGGAGAGCGUCUGUCAGCCUGGGUCUCAGAGGGACCUCACUGAGCAAAGCUCCCUGUCAACUCACAUGAGCCAGAAAUAAGCUUUUGUAAUUUUAAGCCACUGAGUUUUUUAACUAAAAAGAAAAUUGUUUUGGUACUGCUGUCUUAGUCAACUCUGGCUGCUAUGACAAAAUUCCACAGACUGGGGGGACUUAAGCCACAGACAUAUACUUCUUACAGCUCUGGAGGCUGGAGGUGCCUGAUCGGGAUGCCAGCAGAUCAGUUCCCAGGGAGGGCAGCAGUCGUAGCCUCACGUGGCAGAGAGCAGUUUCUUUGUCAGCUCUUUGGGGCUCAGGUCCGACUGCAGAGUGGCCCUGUGUUAGUCUGAAACCACCCCCGCCACCACCAAGAAGCAGUUGCUGGGAUGCAGUUGAACACACAAGAACUUAACUGGGCAGGACGCCUCGGAGAGGAAAUGGAGAAAGCCGGGAGAGCCGUCGCCAGUGAUACAGAGCUGAUCCUGAGGGAAAGAGGAAAGAGGGAGGGAAGGAAGGACAGGAGGGUAGAGGCCAAACGCUCAGUUGGAUUCAGCCUCUUGCUCAGAAAAGGCAAAUCAACUGGAGGUAAAGAGAGGCCUGACCUCCAGAGCCUGGACCUGAUCCUUUUCCCACAUGCUCCCCAUGACAGCUGAGAGGUGCAUGCUCUGGACGCACUUGUAGGGUCAGUAUGGCCAGGUGAGGGCUACAUGAGAACGGAAAUGGGUCGGUGCAUUUGGGGCUAAACUAGGGGCAGGAGUCCUGACAAUGGACCAGAGAUGCCAACAGGAACACAACGCCUUGGUCUGUGACACGUGAGCACCCUGACCUCAUCUUGGCAGCCUCCAGGGCCCAGGCCAGGAACUGGCUCAGUAGGUGCUCAGCAGACCUUUGUGUCAAGAAAGAAUGAACAAAUGUAGCUAUUCUGUUCCUGGUCAUCUCGCAUUCGAAGAUCGAGUCUGAGAGAGAUGAGACCCUGGGGUGGAAACACCAAGGAGAGGUCCCCCUGGACCCACCUGGUCACCCACUCUGCCACCUUCCCUCUGAUCUUCCCCAACACUCCCUUCCUCACCGCACCAUCCAUCUCUUCUGCCUUCUCUCUGGUGUCCAGUUCUGGUGCUGCCUCUCUGCUGGGUCCAGAACCCCCCGGGACAGUUGCGUGGGGGUCACCAGUGUCCCUACAUCUGGAGAAACAAUGGUAUCUUACAAGAGAACAAGGUUCAAGGCGAGAGACAGAGGCAAACACAACAGGUGCAGCUGCAUUCGGUGCUCACCUGUGCAGGGCGCUCUGCGAAGGACACAACGUGCACCACAUCCCCAUUUCACAGAUGGGGAGACUGAGACACAGGUGAAGUGACUAGCCCAGGGUCAGCCAGCCAGUCUUCGGUGGAGCCAGGACCAUCAGGCUCCAAGCCUACCUGUUUGCAUUACCCCCAUCUCAAGUUCAGAAACCAGUACAUGGCUCUCCUUAGGGAUUGUCACCCUCCUGCCACCUGAUCAGCCAGGAGCCUUCACGGCACCCAUUCUGCGACGGAAGGGCCGGGGGCCCAGAGUCCAGGGCCCUCACCCACGAAAUGUCGGUGCUCGGCUCUGAGCCAGGCCGGCCCCGAGCACAGACCGAGCCCUCGACUGUGACAGGACACCUCUGAGCACAAGGUGCCCUGUCCAGCCACGACUGCCCCCAAGCUUCACACCCUGAUGUGCCCAUGCUUGAGUCAGUCUUCGUGCAGUGAUAAUUACCUGUGUGGUGUUAGGACUGCCUGGCUGUCAUCUACCCGGGAUGGAUGGAACCUCUGUCUGGCUUCCCCAGGCUGCACUGGGGACCUGAGUGGGACAGAGAUGGGCACAGGCCUGUGAUGCGAGUCUGGGCCCAGCCCGUGGCAUCGGGGCCUCCUGUCUCCCUCCAGCCUCCCCUGCAAACCCUCUCGAACAUCCCCUGCCUUUGCCCCCCUCUCCUGCUCCUUUAAACUUACGCCAGCAGCCAUCCAUCCGCUUCAGGGUGUAAAAGUCAGGGCUGGUGCCUGUUGCUGAAAUGCUGCGAACUUCCCUGGGUGGGGGGCAAAAUCCUUAGGACCUGGAGGGUACUUUUCUUGUGUCUCAUUCUGCUUUCCGCUCCUUUUUAGAUUUUAUGCAAAAAGUAUUAUUUGUGAUCAAGAAUAAAUACGUAAAAAGGAUAAAAUGAUAAAAAAAAAAAAAAGAGGCAGCGAUUCAAACUGCCACCAUUUAAAAGAUUAGAGCCAUAGAGAUGGUGUGCCGGGGCAGUGAUUUGGGGACUGGGAUGCUUCCUGAUGCUGCGUCCGUGGGGCCUGCCCUGGGGGGUUGGGGAUCAGACAGCGUCAGACCCUGCAGUGACUUCGCCCAGCUCACCCCCAGAAGCCCCCAGCGCCCUGUGAGCAAAUAAUAAAAUAAUACUGCCCGCUUUCGGAGUCAUCAGAGUUGGAGCCGUUAUUAUUUUAAUUAGCCAUCCACUUCCUGGGGGCCCUUCUUCCUCCGGGUCACAGAGAUCCCCAGGCCCCAGACCCUGCGCUGAUGAUGCAGGCAGGACGUGGGUGCCCCACACCCACCCAGUGGGGAGUGACACGCCUCGAGUCUGUCCCCACAGUGCACGUGAGACUUCUGAGUCCCUCCCAUGGCCUGUGAGAACCGUCAUAAUCUGGCCCUGCCUCCCAUCCUGCUGGGGCCUGGGAGCCAUACCCUCUGAUGGCCUCUGUGCCACCUUCUAGCCACAUCCACCUUCUUGCUCUUGCCUGAACAAGUCAGACUCCUUCCACUGACCCCAGGGCCUUUGCAUUGGCUGUUCCCUCUGCCUGGAUGCCUCCCCUGAAUUGGAACACGUCAUUUCCCGUCCCAGCUCAAAUGCCGUCUCCUCGGGGAGGCCAUCCCUGACCAGCACGUCCAAAUCUCCCUCUACGCACCCCACCCUUGCACUGCCCCACAUUUUCUCAUCUUCCUACCAUCAUCUGGCUCCAGCUUUACCCUGCCGCUUCCCUGGUCUACUGUCCACUCUCCCAGCAGGAUGUAUGCUCCACAAUGGCAGGGACCUUGCUGUUGGCUCUCCAAUCCCCCCAGUGGGCCCUGGAGGCAAGGGUUGUACUGCUGAGCUGUACAGACUUCCCUGGGCUCAGGGAACCCAGGAGGUACAUCGUGUCCCAGCUCUGCUGACGAUAACUCUCUGGACUUCUCUGGGUCAUGGACUCCUCAUCUGUCAAAGGAGGAAGGAGAUCUAAUUGCCAGCAUUCCUUCCAGCCCUAGGUGGGGGGAAGGACUUAAACCCUGGAUUCUGCCCUACUGUGUGCACAUCAGGGUGCGGCCAAGUCUACCCAGUGUUCACAACAACCGCGAGAGCUGGGAAUUAGCCCGUUCCGUGGCCUGGGGACCAGAAGGCAAAGUCCCCUGUGCGGGGAAGCCCUCUGGGGUCCCACAGGCCUCAUGUGAGCCCUGGGUCUCCAACUCCAGACCCCGCGGUCUCCUGUCCACGCCAUCCGGCAUGGAGCGCCUAGCCUGGCAGGUGAUGUUGGGGGGGUGGGGGCAGAGAGCAGGUCAGAGGUAGAGAAAGCUUCUCAGAAGAGCCCAGGCACUUGCACGCAGAGCACUGGGCGUUGAUUCAACCCAGUAAAAGUUUAGCCAGCCCUACUCUGUGCUGGGGACACGGUGGGUUGAACAGACCCCGUCCUCAGGAUGCUCUAGGCCUGGGGCGGGGGCGGGGAAUGGAGAA